rnacentral:tRNA from 1 species
GCAGUCGUGGCCGAGUGGUUAAGGCGAUGGAUUAGAAAUCCAUUGGGGUGUCCCCGCACAGGUUCGAAUCCUGUCGACUCCG